ensembl:lncRNA
GGGAUCAAACUCGGGACCUUUCGCUUGUGAGGCAGGCGGCGGAACCACUGAGCUAAAUCCCUGGCCCUAUGGAAGACUGCGCUGCUGGAGCCCUGACUCAGGUCUCUGCAUAGAGGGAAUUGAUGGCCCUAUCAACUGUGUCACCACCCACCACUCCCACAAACUGAAACAUGUCUGGUGUCUGGAAAGAAGAUUUGAGUUAGAAUGUGGCCUCCCUCACUUAGCAGAUACAUGAUGGUGCCAGGUUAUUUAACUUCCUAGAGCCUCAUCUUCCUCUGUAACAGAGAGAUAAUAACUUUUUCAUAAAUUUUGUGGAGAGAAUUAAACUGAUAUACUAUUUGCAUAAUUAGAGUGCUCAGCUAUAAACUAUUUUUUUGAGAUGUGGUCUUCGCUAAGUUGCCCAGUGUUAUGGCUUGUGUCUAGAUGUCUCCCCACAGCCUCAUGAGGUCAUAGGGGGGGGCUUUUUGGAGGUGGCUGGAUCCAGCAUGUGAGAUAAUGGGGCCUCACAAUCCCUGACUUUAAAUUAUACUACAAAGCUAUGGUGUUAAAAACAGUGUGGUACUGGCAAAAGAACAGACCUGAGGAUCAAUGGAACAGAUUAGAGGAUGCAGAAACAAUUCCAGACACACUCAGCCACCUUAUCUUUGACAAAGGAGGCAAACACCUUCACUGGAAGAAAGAGAGCCUCUUUAAUAAAUGGUGCUGGAAAAACUGGUUUUCCACAUGUUGAAGAUUGAAACUAGACCCAUAUCUUUCACCAUGCACUAACCUCAAAUAGAAAUGGAUCAGGCAGGGGAUUUAGCUCAGUGGUUCUGCCACCUGCCUUGCAAGGGCAAGGUCCGAAGUUUGAUCCCCAGGAGAAAAAAAUAAAAUAAAAUAAAAAGAAAUGGAUUAAAUAUUAAAACAGAAACACUAAACCUGGUGGAAGAGAGAAUAGGUAGAAUGCUUGAAGACAUAGGAGUGGGCAAAGACUUCAUAAACAAAACACAGACUGCAUGAGAAAUACUACAAAGAAUCAACUACUGGGACCUCAUCUUAUUAAAAAUCUUUGCACAGCAAGAGAAACCACCAACAGAGCAAAGAGACAACCCACAAUGUGGGAAAAUUUUUUACCAGGUAUUCAGAUAAAGGACUAUUAUCUAGAAUAUAUAAAGAACUCAAAAAAAUCAGACCCCCCAAAUUUAAAGACCCAAUCCAAAAAUGCGGAUCUGAAAUGAAAAGACAUUUCUCAGAUGAAGAAUUAGAGAUGGCAAAUAAAUACAUGAAAAAAAAUUCAACAUCACUGGCCAUUUGAGAGAUGCAAAUUAAAACAAUACUGAGAUUCCAUCUCACUCUAGAAAGAAUGGCUGCUAUCAAGAAAUCAACCAAUAACAAAUGCUGGUGGGGCUGUGGGGAAAAAAGAACCCUUCUCCACUGUUGGUCGGAGUGUAGACUGCUGCAACCACUGUGGAAAUCAGUGUGGAGAUUCCUCAAAAAACUAAACUAAAACUAGAGGUUCCAUUUGACCCAGCUACACCUCUUCUUGAUCUUCCUGAAAGAAUUAAAAGGAUUAUGCCACAGUGAUAUAUGCAUACUCAUGUUUAUAGGCGCACAGUUUGUAAUAGCUAAAUCUUGGAAACAGCCCAAAUGCCCAUCAACUGACCAGUGGAUAAAGAAGAUGUGUUUUUUUUUAAUGCAAUGGAGUACUACUCUGCCAUAAAGAAGGAUGAGCUUCAGACAUUUAUUAGCUAAGUGGAUGGACUUUUUUUUUCUUUUUGGUACUGGGGAUCAAACUUGGGACCUUUUGCUUGUGAGGCAGGUGGUGGCACCACUGAGCUAAAUCCCCAGCCCUAUAUGGAUGGACCUUGAGACCAUACUCUUAAGUGAAAUAAAUUGGACACAUAUGUUUAAAUAGUGCAUUGUUUCUCUGGUGUGAGAAACUGAAUGUUGACAUAAGGACAGAGAUGUAUAAUGGAUGCUGGGAAAUGGGAAGAAAGUGUUCAAAUGGGAAAGGGGAACAAGGGAGGAGGGAGGGAGAAAGGAAGGAAGGGACAAGAAAAAAAGUGAAAAUAGAAGGAAAAAAUGGAAACAAAGCUUUUGUACAUGGGGAG